AGUGCGGUAGGGGAGACUGGAAUUCCCGGUGUAACGGUGGAAUGUGUAGAUAUCGGGAAGAACACCAAUGGCGAAGGCAGGUCUCUGGGCCGUUACUGACGCUGAGGAGCGAAAGCGCGGGGAGCGAACAGGAUUAGAUACCCUGGUAGUCCACGCCGUAAACGGCGGAUGCUGGAUGUGGGGCCCUUCCACGGGUCCCGUGUCGGAGCCAACGCGUUAAGCAUCCCGCCUGGGGAGUACGGCCGCAAGGCUAAAACUCAAAGAAAUUGACGGGGGCCCGCACAAGCGGCGGAGCAUGCGGAUUAAUUCGAUGCAACGCGAAGAACCUUACCUGGGCUUGACAUGUUCCCGGCGACCGUGGAGACACGGUUUCCCUUCGGGGCGGGUUCACAGGUGGUGCAUGGUCGUCGUCAGCUCGUGUCGUGAGAUGUUGGGUCAAGUCCCGCAACGAGCGCAACCCUCGCCCCGUGUUGCCAGCGCGUCAUGGCGGGAACUCACGGGGGACCGCCGGGGUUAACCCGGAGGAAGGUGGGGAUGACGUCAGAUCAUCAUGCCCCUUACGUCCAGGGCUUCACGCAUGCUACAAUGGCCGGUACAGCGGGAUGCGACAUGGUGACAUGGAGCGGAUCCCUGAAAACCGGUCUCAGUUCGGAUCGGAGCCUGCAACCCGGCUCCGUGAAGGCGGAGUCGCUAGUAAUCGCGGAUCAGCAACGCCGCGGUGAAUGCGUUCCCGGGCCUUGUACACACCGCCCGUCAAGUCAUGAAAGUGGGCAGCACCCGAAGCCGGUGGCCUGACCCGUUCGCGGGGGGGAGCCGUCUAAGGUGAGGC
rnacentral:rRNA from 1 species